AUUGAACGCUGGCGGAAUGCUUUACACAUGCAAGUCGAACGGCAGCACGGACUUCGGUCUGGUGGCGAGUGGCGAACGGGUGAGUAAUAUAUCGGAACGUGCCCAGUCGUGGGGGAUAACGUAGUGAAAAUUACGCUAAUACCGCAUACGAUCUACGGAUGAAAGCGGGGGAUCGCAAGACCUCGCGCGAUUGGAGCGGCCGAUAUCCGAUUAGGUAGUUGGUGAGGUAAAGGCUCACCAAGCCGACGAUCUGUAGCUGGUCUGAGAGGACGACCAGCCACACUGGGACUGAGACACGGCCCAGACUCCUACGGGAGGCAGCAGUGGGGAAUUUUGGACAAUGGACGCAAGUCUGAUCCAGCCAUUCCGCGUGCAGGACGAAGGCCUUCGGGCUGUAAACUGCUUUUGUACAGAACGAAAAGGUCUCUAUUAAUACUGGGGGCUCAUGACGGUACUGUAAGAAUAAGCACCGGCUAACUACGUGCCAGCCGCCGCGGUAA
rnacentral:rRNA from 1 species